rnacentral:lncRNA from 10 species
UGCCCACCUUGGCCUCCCAAAUUUCUGGGAUUAUGGGCAUGAGCCACAGCACCUGGCCGCCCCCUGGCCACUAUUAGGAGGUUGGCAUGACAGAUGAGCAGCCAAUAUCCACUCUUCCCUCCUGCCUGAGAAUGGGCCUAGGAGUACAGUCUGAACCUCUGAGCCACCCAAAUCACUGCCAUUCUGGGGGAAUCUACCAUCAAUCCUAACUUCAAAAGGGAAACUAGAAAUCAGGGAGGUGAAGGCAAUAGGGCUGGCAACUCACCUUCUUUCCACAAACAGGAAGGAUUGAGGCCACUUUAUGGAGAUGGUGACAGUAAUAUGUCUUCGAUACCUGUUGUGUGGUCUGCCAGGUACUCAUUCCCAUUUCCUUCUGAAAGUGUAACUCCAAUUUCUCUUGGAAAACUAUCCCUUGUAGCAUAUCCAUCCUUGUAGCAUAUCCAUCCAUCCAUCCAUUGUAGCAUAUCCAUCCUUGUAGCAUAUCCAUCCAUCCAUCCAUUGAUCCAUUGAUCCAUCCAUCCAUCCAUGCAUCUGUCCGUCCAACAAAACUUGGUUGUGUUCCAGUGAUGCCCCAGCUCCUGGGGAUACAGAAACGAACAAGAAAAAGUUCCUGCAUUCAAGAAGUCUACCCUCUGGAGGUAUAAAGCAUGUAAAUAAUCAGACACAAUGCAAAUCCAGAUGAUUAGUGUUAAUGAGGAGGUCAAGCAGAGUGAGAGGACAGAGACUGGGUAAGGUCUCUGGAGAAGUGACAUCCAGUGAGACCUGAAUGAUGGGAAGACCUGGGGGAAGAGCACCCCGAGUCUUUAAUCAUCUGUGCAAAGGCCUAAGACAAGAGAAUCUUCCUCAAGAAGCCACUUUCCGGGGCCUCUUGACUAGAGAAGUGUGUGGACAGAAACCCCAGGCAGAGGUGAGUAAGACAGAAGGGUAGCUGGUGCAGGACGGGUUGGCUGCCAGCUAAAUGCCCUGCCUCUCUCAACCCCUCUUACUCUACCACGUCUCUGUCUCAUUUCUCUUCCCCACCCCUACCUUUCCAGUGCUGGCUCUUCUGGUUGCUGUCCAGUUCCCAGUGCUGAACACCACCUUCCCCAAUGUGGAGCUUCCUCAUUCCCAGCCCAGUCACUUCCUGCUCACCCCCACCUCUUUCUGGGGACACUGGGUACAGGGAAGCACAGUGACAGGACCUCUCCCUAGGCAUGGAGAAAGGGUCUCGGGACUUUAGGGCCUUGGGUCUCCUUAGAGAAGCAUCUGGUCCUCUUUUACUUUAUAAUAUUCAUUCAUUCAAUGAGCAUUUAUUUAGUACUUGCUCUGUGCUGGCACUUUUUAGCAUCUGGGGACACAAAUGAGGAAAUACUCAGAUUCUGCCAGCAAGGAGCCAGAAGAAGGAAGAGACCGGCUAGCAAAGGUGACUGCAUAAGAUCAGGUGAGGACCACAGGUGGAUAUAGAUCAGGUGGAGAUCUUUAAAGGGGGCCACAGGGCUUCCCAAGGUGCAG